rnacentral:rRNA from 1 species
GACGAACGCUGGCGGCGUGCUUAACACAUGCAAGUCGAACGGAAAGGCCCUUCGGGGUACUCGAGUGGCGAACGGGUGAGUAACACGUGGGUGAUCUGCCCUGCACUUUGGGAUAAGCCUGGGAAACUGGGUCUAAUACCGAAUAGGACCACGCGCUUCAUGGUGUGUGGUGGAAAGCUUUUGCGGUGUGGGAUGGGCCCGCGGCCUAUCAGCUUGUUGGUGGGGUAAUGGCCUACCAAGGCGACGACGGGUAGCCGGCCUGAGAGGGUGACCGGCCACACUGGGACUGAGAUACGGCCCAGACUCCUACGGGAGGCAGCAGUGGGGAAUAUUGCACAGUGGGCGCAAGCCUGAUGCAGCGACGCCGCGUGAGGGAUGACGGCCUUCGGGUUGUAAACCUCUUUCAAUAGGGACGAAGCGCAAGUGACGGUACCUAUAGAAGAAGCACCGGCCAACUACGUG